AGUGGAUGGGGAACAACCUAGUUGUGCGUGUGUAAAGGUAGUGCCAAGAAAAGCGGUGAUCAUGAUGAAAAUCAAUUCCCGGUACCCGAAACCGACACAGGUGGGCAAGUAGAGAAUACUAAGGGGCGCGAGGUAACUCUCUCCAAGGAACUCGGCAAAAUGACCCCGUAACUUAGGGAGAAGGGGUGCCACCGAGAGGUGGUCGCAGUGAAGAGGCCCAGGCGACUGUUUAGCAAAAACAUAGGUCUCUGCAAACUCGACAGAGGAGGUAUAGGGGCUGACGCCUGCCCAGUGCCGGAAGGUUAAAGAAGUUGGUCAGUCUUAGGAUGAAGCUAGCGACUGAAGCCCCGGUGAACGGCGGCCGUAACUAUAACGGUCCUAAGGUAGCGAAAUUCCUUGUCGGGUAAGUUCCGACCCGCACGAAAGGCGUAACGAUCUGGGCGCUGUCUCGGAGAGAGGCUCGGCGAAAUAGGAUUGUCUGUGAAGAUACGGACUACCUGCAUUUGGACAGAAAGACCCUAUGAAGCUUUACUAUAGCUUGGAAUUGUGUUCGGGCUUCCUGUGCGCAGGAUAGGCGGGAGGCGUAGAAGGUAUUCUUGUGGGGAUACUGGAGCCAACGGUGAGAUACCACUCUCAGGAGGCUAGAAUUCUAACUUAAUUAAGGACAGUUUCAGGUGGGUAGUUUGACUGGGGCGGUCGCCUCCAAAAAGGUAACGGAGGCGUACAAAGGUUCCCUCAGACUGGUUGGAAAUCAGUCGCAGAGUGCAAAGGCAGAAGGGAGCUUGACUGCGAGAAGUACAGUUCGAGCAGGGUGGAAACACGGUCUUAGUGAUCCGACGGUGCUGUGUGGAAGGGCCGUCGCUCAACGGAUAAAAGUUACUCUAGGAUAACAGGCUGAUCUCCCCCAAGAGUUCACAUCGACGGGGAGGUUUGGCACCUCGAUGUCGGCUCAUCGCAACCUGGGGCGGAAGUACGUCCCAAGGGCUGGGCUGUUCGCCCAUUAAAGCGGUACGUGAGCUGGGUUCAGAACGUCGUGAGACAGUUCGGUCCAUAUCCGAUGUAGGCGUGAGAAUAUUGAGAGGAGCCUUCCUUAGUACGAGAGGACCGGGAAGGACGCACCGCUGGUGUACCUGUUAUGAUGCCAAUUGUAAACGCAGGGUAGCCAAGUGCGGAGAGGAUAACCGCUGAAAGCAUCUAAGUGGGAAGCCCACCUCAAGAUGAGCAUUCUGGUGUAAGGUCACGGGAAGACGACCCGUAAAUAGGCACGAGGUGGAAGUGCAGAGAUGUAUGAAGCCGAAGUGUACUAAUAGACCGUCGGCUUGAC
rnacentral:rRNA from 1 species